GCUUCAGUCAAGGAGUCUCGCAUCUUGAAAGCUCUGAGGAAUGUGAUGGCCUAAGAUAACGCCAUCGCCUCCCGCCACCAACUUCGCCUCGUGAGGAAGACAAGGAGGUUACAUCACACCAACAUACAAUCAUAUACAGUGAUACUACAAUCAACAUAACAUUUCAGAACAAUGUGGUGAUCAAGGUACAAGAAAGAAAGAAAAACGAUAUUUAAGGG